rnacentral:rRNA from 1 species
GAUGAACGCUGGCGGCGUGCUUAACACAUGCAAGUCGAACGGGAAACAUUUCAUUGAGGCUUCGGCGGAUUUGGUCUGUUUCUAGUGGCGGACGGGUGAGUAACGCGUGGGUAACCUGCCUUAUACUGGGGGAUAACAGCCAGAAAUGACUGCUAAUACCGCAUAAGCGCACGGGGCCGCAUGGUCCUGUGUGAAAAACUCCGGUGGUAUAAGAGGGACCCGCGUUGGAUUAGCUAGUUGGCAGGGCAGCGGCCUACCAAGGCGACGAUUCAUAGCCGGCCUUAGAGGGUGAACGGCCACAUUGGGACUGAGACACGGCCCAGACUCCUACGGGAGGCAGCAGUGGGGAAUAUUGCACAAUGGGGGAAACCCUGAUGCAGCGACGCCGCGUGAAGGAAGAAGUAUCUCGGUAUGUAAACUUCUAUCAGCAGGGAAGAUAAUGACGGUACCUGACUAAGAAGCCCCGGCUAACUACGUGCCAGCCGCCGCAGUAA